UGAGGAAUAUUGGUCAAUGGGCGCAAGCCUGAACCAGCCAUCCCGCGUGCAGGAAGACGGCCCUAUGGGUUGUAAACUGCUUUUCCAGGGGGAGAAUUUUUCUGUCGUGACAGGAAUUGACGGUACCCUGGGAAUAAGCAUCGGCUAACUCCGUGCCAGCAGCCGCGGUAAUACGGAGGAUGCGAGCGUUAUCCGGAUUUAUGGGGUUUAAAGGGUGCGUAGGCGGAUUGAUAAGUCAGUGGUGAAAACCUGCAGCUUAACUGUAGACUUGCAGUUGAUACUGUCAGUCUUGAGUGUGGUCGAGGUAGGCGGAAUGUGUAAUGUAGCGGUGAAAUGCUUAGAUAUUACACAGAACACCGAUUGCGAAGGCAGCUUACUGGGCCAUUACUGACGCUGAUGCACGAAAGCGUGGGGAUCGAACAG
rnacentral:rRNA from 1 species